AGCACAGACCCCAGACCAGAUCCUCACUCCACACAAGUCCCUGGCAGCGUUCCCCACCCAAGCCCUGUCUGCAUCCUGUCCUUCCUCCCAGAAAUUCAAAGUCAUCCAUAGGAUCCAGCUGCUCCAGCAGGCUGCAAAUUCAUAUGACCUGGAGCCCGAUGAGCGAUUUGGGGCCUGGUUCCAGGCCAUGGAGCCCAUCAGUGUCCAUGAGAGCUACUGGGUCUCCUGCCGGCUGGAGCCCGCACACCAGAAGGCGAGCAAAAUGCGGCUCUUCAGGAGAAAGAGGAACCGGACAUCCUCCAGUUUAGGGCCGACCACCGUGCCCUUGGCGAUGAGCCAUAACCCUCUGGAGACCACAAGUUCAGCUCCUCCUGAGCAGCAGGGCCACUGGGACCCUCGGG